AUGCAAGUAGAGGGGUAUAAGUAGCAAUACUUAGAGACCGGCGCACGGGUGAGUAACGCGUAUGCAACCUGCCCUUUACAGGAGGAUAGCCCGUAGAAAUGCGGAUUAAUACCCCAUAGUAAUGUUAGAUCGCAUGAUUUGGCAUUUAAAGUUUCGGCGGUAAAGGAUGGGCAUGCGUGACAUUAGCUAGUUGGUGAGGUAACGGCUCACCAAGGCAUCGAUGUCUAGGGGUUCUGAGAGGAAGAUCCCCCACACUGGUACUGAGACACGGACCAGACUCCUACGGGAGGCAGCAGUGAGGAAUAUUGGUCAAUGGGCGGGAGCCUGAACCAGCCAUCCCGCGUGCAGGAAGAAUGCCCUAUGGGUUGUAAACUGCUUUUUCGCAUGAAGAACACUUCCGACGUGUCGGGAGCUGACGGUAAUGCGUGAAUAAGCACCGGCCAACUACGUGCCAGCAGCCGCGGUAAUUACGUGGGGGCAAGCGUUAUCCGGAUUUACUGGGUGUAACGGGAGCG
rnacentral:rRNA from 1 species